rnacentral:piRNA from 1 species
GAACAGACUGAUGCAUCAGGAUAAGU